rnacentral:misc_RNA from 1 species
GAUAUAACAGUUUUAAAAUUUGCCAGUAUUUUCUCUGAGGAAUAUCAGAUCUUCAUUUUUUCUAUUUCUCCCUCUAUGCGACUAGUAAUAAGUAUGCUGAUAUUCUUCAAUCAGAAAAAAAAAGAAUUUAAUUCAAAAUAAUUAAUUAAAAUCAUAACUUUGACAAGAUCAGGAUCCAUUGGCCCUGAUGGCAUCUCCAUCGUUAUAUUUGAAAUUAUCAAGUUUAAGCGAUAUGCCAGCGAAAAGAGAAGUUUGGAGUCUUGGGAGAAAGUAUCUUCCAACUGCGUCAACAAUAAAGCUCUCCUGUACAUGGAGAUGGAGCUCACCGUUAACGAGCUGGACCGGUUCGUUAAAGACGUAGAAGCGCAGGCGAAGCUCAGGCGAUUCAAAAGACGCACCUAUUCGAGAGGAGAUUGGAAAGAGUUUAGACAGAAAGAACAGGACUUCGCAGAAAAGUUAGAACUGGGUAAAAUUGUGAUGAAAAAACUCCUGGAUGCAGUUACAUGCGACCCGGACCCGAUUCUUGACGAGCCCCUCGACGAAAUGCUGUCCGUCUCGAGUAAACUUGGCUACAUGAGACAGGAAAUCGAUCCGAUGAGACAACUGGCUGUAAUCGGUACUCACGUCAUGGAAAGAUUCGCCAGGAUUCUGGAAGAGGAAGGUGUGGACCACGAUUUCCCUGUACCUAAAAAAGUCAAACCUCGAAAGAUUUUCAGAAGGAUGAUCAAGGCUGAGUCUUACGUAAAACCCUCUGUACCCGAAAAAAUUGUAGAACAACAUGAAACUCAAUUCAAAGACCCGAACAACAUUGAAGACAGUACGAUAAGUUUUAUAAAAGACGAAAUGUUCCAAGCUCCAGCGUCUUUCCUGAGAGAGUAUGCUAAAAGGGCUGACCUCCUUCUAGAGUACAAAGAAGUUUCCGAGGUGAAAAAUCCAUGGAUUACUCAGUACGUUUACUCCUGCACUCUUGACCAAAUAUCAGCCGAAGGAAAAGGGAAGAGGAAAAGCGCAGCUAAGCAGGACGCAGCUGCCCACGUUAUAAGAAUAAUGCUCAAUAAAAUAAGAAGAGGAGCGCUCCCACAAUCCAUGCCCGUUCUUUCAAGCGAAGAACGAGAAUUGGGCUUGAUGCUGUCUUGUGAGACGGUCGAAUAUGGAAACGAGCUGCAGGCCGUCUGCUCCGCUGAAAACGCACGACCACCGUUCUUCAUACCUCUGAUACAGUCAUCUGGAAACGCAGUCAGGUGCAAAGCACUCGGAUUCAAUGCAGUCGGAAAAGACAUUUCAUUGGGCAAUUGCAGCCCAUGCUUGGCAACCACCUCGAAAAGUUCCCAACUUCCUCGUGAAGUCGCGGGACAUGAAAGAAAAAUGUGUUCGGCAUCGGCUACAGUCAUGUUAUGUUCAACAAGGGCAGAUGUUUUUGUCGGCUAAACCUAUUUUUUGCAUGUAGUACGGGAUUGUGUUAUGACUAAACUGAAGUCUUCAUAAGCAGAAUCGUCGAGGCCGGUAACCCGGUUGAACCAAGACUUGAAGGGUAUUCUAGGCUGUAUCUCAGAGGGGGUACGGAAGGACGAAGGAGAUAGCCUCGAGAAUGGCUGCGAAACUGGUGCUUGACCAGAUUCGGGACGAACAGGAACGCCAG